rnacentral:tRNA from 1 species
UCGGAUAUGGUGUAACGGCUAACAUUGCCGCCUUUCAAGAGUGCGUGCGCGGCAGCUCGGGGUUCGAUUCCCCGUAUCCGAA